rnacentral:lncRNA from 1 species
CUUAUCAGACUCCUUGCUUUUUUGUUUAUGAAAACUCUGGGAAGACUAUGAACAUCGUGAGGAAAGAAUAUCUCCGCAUAGAAAUCCAAAAAGCCCCAUAAGCGAAGCAUUUCCAAAUUUCUGAGUAUACGAGCACAAGCAUUGCAGGUGAUCCUGAACCAUGUGGCAAAACCUGUUUGCGACGUCUACAUUAAACUCCUAAAAACAAUGCCCGUAUUGUAGGAUUCUCACAGAACAACCUUGAAAUAACCAAGAAGUAUGGCAGACUUCCAUAACGAGCGGAGAUAUAGAGCUCAUGGUUCAGAUUGAUGCCUUGCAUUGGACCUUCGGAAACCCUGAAAUAAAAUUAGAAAAGGAAUCUUGUGACUUAUUGCUCUUUUCUUAAUUUAUUCAUAUUUGUCCAGCCAAUCAAAGUGGUAACAAGUUAGAAACCUUGAUUCUAAGUUCCAAAUGUAGAAUAUCAAAGCUCAUAAGAAUUAGAAACAAAGAGAAGAUUUCAGAGAGUUUUACCUUCACUGGUUUUCUCCAACUCCCAUUAUUUCCAUGUCAAAUGGGGAAAAAUCGUGUUUAAUCCUUUCUUCUCAUCGCUAUUGAAUGUCGAUGUCAACUCGAGCUCAACCCUUUUCCAUACCUCAUCUAGAAAAGACGGUCCUGAUUCAAAGAUGAAGAAAUAAUGAUUUAUAAAGUGAUCUUAAUUACUUGUGCAAGUUUGACAAUCUGGACCUUUUCCUUUUGUUAUGAUUCACGCAUAUAAUCCAUCGAUAAUGAUCAUGAAACAAGAAAAGAAAAGGAAACGUAAGUUACACUCCAGUAUUCAACAACUUACGAUGGAAUCUGUAAGAGUGCAGCAGCCAGCCAAAUUCACACGUUGUUUUUGUGCAGAAACAUAUCGGCACCUAUGUAAAGAUGACAGAUGCAAUGAAAGAUGAGUAAGCAUUCCACCGUAUUCAAACCACAACAGUAAGAGGAAAAAAAAACAUCAUCAAGGAGUUACCUCGUCCUGUGCAGGAGAAUCAUAUUGGUGUCAUAGCUAGCCAGAGCACCCAAUAACUUACUUGGUAUUGUACGAAGUAAUUUAUGUAAGCAAACACUUGUUGCUAUUGGAUGAUAUUGUCCUGAAAUUUAAUUGAUUGAUUAAUUAAACACAGUAUAGCUGACAGUAAACAAUUGAAGUGAAACUUUUACAGAAUCUGAAUCUCGUGUGUACGUACCUGACAUUGACUUGAGAUCUCAAUUGAUGAUGACUUGCUUGCCUAUCUUGAUGCAAGGAAUGUGAGCUAUCUUGCUCCACUCUUCUCCCGUCUUCUCCUGACACCUCUUCAUCAGAGAAGGACAGUUGUAGAUGCGCAAACAAGAGAGCGAUGCCAGCAAAUCCUCUUUUGGCAGGAAUUUGAGACUAUCACACUCGUAAAUUUGGAGCUCUUGAAGAGAAGUGAGGUGUUGAAUUCCCUUUCCCUCCAAAGAUUUCAGACUCGUAAAUUUGGAUGAUAGCGUCCUGAAAUUUAAACAAGUAUGUUUUUUAAUGGUGGUAUAGUUGAGUUAAACAGUUGAAAAGUUAAAACUGAUUGAUUAAUUAAACACUAUAUAUAGAUGACAGCAAACAAUUGAAGUGAAACUUUUACAUGAUCUGAAUCUUGUAUGUUAUUCUAUGAAAAAUGGUGCUAUGUACGUACCUGACUUUGAGUUGAGAUCUCAAAUGAUGACUUGGUCGCCUAUCUCGAUGCAAGGAAUGUGAGCUAUCUUGCUCCACUCUUCUCCUGUCUUCUCCUCACACCCGUAAUACAUGUGUUACACGCGAGAUAUUGACAAAACCCUCAUUAAUUAUUUCCUCACUAACAAGGCGAUAAUUUUGCCAGGAUCAUACAUCCAAGAAUAUGACAACCUGAGUACAAACGAUUUGAUUAUUUUUGCAUCCCAAAUACCACAUAUCCUAUGAUUUCAUCCAAAAACAGUUCAGAAUAUUCAUCUAAAGAACUUAGUUAUGAACAGAGGAGAUCCACAUGAUUUUACGAUGAAGUACAAUUUGACAAAAUAAUUCAUGAUUUACAUAAGAGUAAACGUGUUACCAGUACCACUGCAGCACUUGAAAGUUAAAGUAUCACAAGCAGAUAAUAGGGGCCUUACUAGCUCCGCUUUUUUCCAUGUGCCGGUUGACUCUUCCAACCAUCCAAUAUUCCGGCCUUCCAAUCCAUUGAUGAUGUGGUCGAAUCAACUAGUAUAUAAAAGUAUGGCAUUAAAUAUGAAAAUGCAGAAUGUGGCAGGGCUUAUAUCUCUGGUUUUAUUAAUCUUGUUAUAUACAGGUAGAAAACACUGGAUAUCUGGCAAAACAUUUCCAGGAUGAAGUUCACAUAAAGUCCGUUUUUUCCCAGUUUGCAUGAAAUUCCUACUAAGUAGGUUUGUUCUGCUAUAAGCAAUAAUGUACAUGAUCACACAACUGAGGUUCAGAGUUGUUACCAAGAAAAUUUCUAACAUACGACGGCCUACUCCAACCAUCCUCUAUCAAAAUUAGGUUAAGGCGUAUCAUCAAUUUCUCUGUGGCAUCUUCCACCAAAACAGCUAAUCAAUCAGACAGUCGCCUCCGUAGGGGACGAUCCUGAAGAAUCCAAAUAAAGGUACUUUAUUAGAUUUGGUAUCAAAGUCGGAUGUCAUCUUACAUAUAGAAAUUAGGAAACUUACCUUUUUGUCCUGCUACAACUUUAGAUAUUCAAGUGAUUGCUAAUAAAGUCCACAAUGGUAGAAAAGAAUGAUGUAAUGUCUUAAUUCCUUCGGAUCAGCUUCUGGGAGAAUAAGAUGUUCACAAGCUGUGACAAAGAAGCCUUAGCAGAUGCAAGCUGAACGCCAGUGGAAAAAUACCAAGUAUCCUUAUAUAUGUGCACUUAAGUUGGAUUAGUUUUAAGUAGAAACUACAUUCACUUCGGACAAAGUACCAGUCUUCUUUAUACUUGAUCUAUCAAUAAAGUUAGCAGCACGUGCUGCCUUCAAGAACAAAUUCCCUGGUUGAUCAUGCUGAAAUGGGCCAGAAUGCGCCCUUCAAAUUUUUUUAGAUCUGUACAAACAGUAGACUAUGAGACCAGAUGUAGCUUAAGGUUAAAGCCUUGUACACGUCCGAAGAUCAAUUAUGCAUGUAAAUAAAAUUAUAUAAAGACAAUGUCACACACAAACAAAUGUACACAAAGAUAUAUUUAAUCUUUACCUUGACUCACUUUGAGCACAAAACCCAUGCUUACAACUGCUCAAUUGAAAUCUCAUGGUUGACAUCCUAGCGCAGAGACCUUUAUAAAUACUUUGCUUAUGUUGUAAUGAUCAUGUAGUUCAUUUCAAAUAUCUAUAUCUAAGGUUUUGUAGUUGAUUUCUAACUAAUUUAUCCUAAAUUCUUUAAUACUUUCAAAUCCCUCAUCCAAACGCAGGGUGAGAGAAGUAGGAGUUUUAGCAUACACAACUCAUUGACAUAGGACAAUGCAAAUCAAGGCGAAAAAAAACAGAUCUGUCGACAUGAUAACACAAGUCACCUCACCUCCACUAAAACGGCUUGCGAAGUCAUUAUGUGUGCAUUAUCAGAUUACUUGCUUUUAACCUCUGGGAAGACUAUGAAGAUCAUGACGAAGCAUUUUCAAAAUUUGAGUAUAUGAGCACAAGCAUUGCAGGUGAUCCUGAGCGAUGUGUCAGAACCAGUUUGCAACGUCUACAUUAAACUCCUGAAAACAAUGCCCAUAUUGUAGGGUUCUCACAGAACAACCUUGAGACAACAAACAAGUAAGGCAGACUUCCGUACUGAGUGGAGAGAUAGAGCUCAUGGUUCAGAGUGAUGCCUUGCAUUGGUCCUUCAGAAACCCUGAAAUAAAAUUAAAAAAGGAACCUUGUGACUUAUUGCUCUUUUCUUAAUUUAUUCAUAUUUGUCCAGCCAAUCAAAGUGGUAACAAGUUAGAAACCUUGAUUCUAAGUUCCAAAUGUAGAAUAUCAAAGCUCAUAAGAAUUAGAAACAAAGAGAAGAUUUCAGAGAGUUUUACCUUCACUGGUUUUCUCCAACUCCCAUUAUUUCCAUGUCAAAUGGGGAAAAAUCGUGUUUAAUCCUUUCUUCUCAUCGCUAUUGAAUGUCAAUGUCAACUCGAGCUCAACCCUUUUCCAUACCUCACCUAGAGAAGACGGUCCUGAUUCAAAGAAGAAGAAAUAAUGAUUUAUAAAGUGAUCUUAAUUACUUGUGCAAGUUUGACAAUCUGGACCUUUUCCUUUUGUUAUGAUUCACGCAUAUAAUCCAUUGAUAAUGAUCAUGAAACAAGAAAAGAAAAGGAAACGUAAGUUACACUCCAGUAUUCAACGACUUACGAUGGAAUCUGUAAAAGUGCAGCAGCCAGCCAAAUUCACACGUUGUUUUUGUGCAGAAACAUAUCGGCACCUAUGUAAAGAUGACAGAUGCAAUGAAAGAUGAGUAAGCAUUCCACCGUAUUCAAACCACAACAGUAAGAGGGAAAAAAAACAUCAUCAAGGAGUUACACAACUCACUGACAUAGGACAAUACAAAUUAAGGCAAAACAAACAGUGUCAAAAUCCAAAAUGCCUUACUUCUUUGAGUCAUUAUGUUUGCAUUAUGCCCUUAUCAGACUCCUUGCUUUUUUGUUUAUGAAAACUCUGGGAAGACUAUGAAGAUCGUGAUUCGUGAGGAAAGAAUAUCUCUGCAUAGAAAUCCAAAAGGCCCCAUAAGCGAAGCAUUUCCAAAUUUCUGAGUAUACGAGCACAAGCAUUGCAGGUGAUCCUGAACCAUGUGGCAAAACCUGUUUGCGACGUCUACAUUAAACUCCUAAAAACAAUGCCCGUAUUGUAGGAUUCUCACAGAACAACCUUGAAAUAACCAAGAAGUAUGGCAGACUUCCAUCAUGAGCGGAGAUAUAGAGCUCAUGGUUCAGAUUGAUGCCUUGCAUUGGUCCUUCGGAAACCCUGAAAUAAAAUUAGAAAAGGAAUCUUGUGACUUAUUGCUCUUUUCUUAAUUUAUUCAUAUUUGUCCAGCCAAUCAAAGUGGGAACAAGUUAGAAACCUUGAUUCUAAGUUCCAAAUGUAGAAUAUCAAAGCUCAUAAGAAUUAGAAACAAAGAGAAGAUUUCAGAGAGUUUUACCUUCACUGGUUUUCUCCAACUCCCAUUAUUUCCAUGUCAAAUGGGGAAAAAUCGUGUUUAAUCCUUUCUUCUCAUCACUAUCGAAUGUCGAUGUCAACUCGAGCUCAACCCUUUUCCAUACCUCAUCUAGAAAAGAUGGUCCUGAUUCAAAGAUGAAAAAAAUAAUGAUUCAUAAAGUGAUCUUAAUUACUUGUGCAAGUUUGAUCAUGAAGCAUUCCACCGUAUUCAAACCACAACAGUAAGAGGAAAAAAAAAACAUCAUCAAGGAGUUACCUCGUCCUGUGCAGGAGAAUCAUAUUGGUGUCAUAGCUAGCCAGAGCACCCAAUAACUUACUUGGUAUUGUAAGCAAACACUUGUUGCUCUUGGAUGAUAUUGUCCUGAAAUUUAAUUGAUUGAUUAAUUAAACACAGUAUAGCUGACAGUAAACAAUUGAAGUGAAACUUUUACAGAAUCUGAAUCUCGUAUGUACGUACCUGACUUUGAUUUGAGAUCUCAAAUGAUGACUUGGUCGCCUAUCUCGAUGCAAGGAAUGUGAGCUAUCUUGCUCCACUCUUCUCCCGUCUUCUCCUGACACCUCUUCUCCAGAGAAGAAGAGUGCCAGAUUCUCAGACAACGGAGCGAUUCCGGCAAACCCUCUUUUGGCAGGAAUUUGAGACUAUCACACUCGUAAAUUUGGAGCUCUUGAAGAGAAGUGAGGUGUUGAAUUCCCUUUCCCUCCAAAGAUUUCAGACUUUUCAUUCCAGAGAUUUGGAGAGUGUGAAGAGUGGUAGGGAGCAGCUGUUCCUCGAGCACCGCCACCAACACAUCCUCGCUUCUCCAGAUCGUAAAUGUUCGAAGGGAGACAAGUCGUUGCAAACCCCAGUACUCCACUGAAGGCCUCAGUUUCUCACAACCGCUGAUUCCAAAUGAUUGUAGGUUGGGAGGCAAACCUCCUUCUGCAAAUGACUCAACAUUUGGACCAUCAGAUAUCCACAAAUCUCGAAGGGCGGUGAGGGUGUGUAUUCGAUCGGGCAAUAACUUCAAAUUCUUGCAAUUACCGACUGUAAAACUAGCCAGGUUGGGAGUGGGCAACCUUCUCCAAUGGAAAGAGACCAGAUUUGGACAAGAAUAGAUACAGAGAGCACCGAGAUGAGUGAGAUUUUCAACAUCAGCUCCUUCUCCAAUGGAAAGGGAUUCUAGAUUUUCAAUGCCGUAGAAUUGAAGAGAUGAAAGUUUGGGGAAAACGCCCAGCGGGAAGGACCUCAGUGAAUCACAGCUGCCGGUCAAAUCCAAAUGUUGAAGGGAUGUCAAUUUGGCCAUCAUCUCAUGAGAUAGGAAUUCUAAUCUCCUGCAAUUAAUUAUCUCAAGAAAUGUCAAUGUAGUGGGUAGACCAUUUCUAGGGAACGACAAGAGGGACCCGCAAUCACGGAGAGUCAAUUUUUGAAGACGACUGCUCAGGUGCGGCUGCAAGCAAUCUGUGCGACUCAAAAUUUGAAUAUCAAGCCCGGAAAGCGAGGACAGCGACUCCGUCUCUAGUAACGACGAGAGACCAGGGCAUCCUCUUAUUCGCAGAUCCUGAAGAGAUUGUCGCAAGGACUCCGUCUCUAGUAUCCAUCUACUUCUAGUAGCCCUUUCAUGCAGAACCCCACAAUCCAACACUUCAAGCUUUUUCAAGCAAGGAAGAUGAUCGGGCAAGUUUCCCCUCAGCUUCGGACAAUUCUCUAAAACCAGCUCCUCGAGACGAGGAAAGUCCGGACAUUGACCUCUACCUGGACUUCGCAGCCAUUCUUCCCAUUCUGGCAUAUCUCCAAAUACCAGCUUCUCUAAAGAACGAAAUGGCUGAAUUAGAGAAGUUCCAUUGACACCAUAAAACUCAGCACCAAUACCCAUAACACAUUUCAUGUUGCUAAUAUAGAGCUCCUUAAGAGCAGGCAACUGCCCAACUGGUGGCAACGACCAACAAUUACUAAAACCACAAAGGCACAUGACUUUUAUGUUGGAGAAGGAAGAGUCUCCCAACCAAUUCGGAAAGCUUGUUCCACCAUAACAUCUAAUGGCCAGUUCCACCAAAUUUACAGAAGGUUGUAAUCUUUCAAGUACAUUUCUCUCUUUUAUGGAAUCAUCUGCAUCCUCUCUACCCCAUGCCAACUCUAUUUGAUUGAGAUCUUUCUUAUCCUUCAAAUUGGCCCGCAAGACAUCCAUAGCAUCGACUACAUUCUCUAGAUUCAAGAUAGAAAAUUUCCCUCCAAGAUUGGGUAACUCCCCCAAUUCCCCAAUGCCGCCAGACCUAGUAGAUGUCCCCAACACAUAAGCAGUGAGUGUUCUCAAACUUUUUAGUCUGCCCAUUCGCACCGGCAUCUCUUUUAUACCAGUAUAUCCAAUAUCAAGAUGGCGCAGAUUAAUCAGUUUCCUCAUGUCUACAGGCAAUUCAACAAGAGAGGUACAACCUACCAACAAUAAAGUUUGCAAAUUGUAGAGACUACUCACGGUAUCUGGUAACCUUUCAAUUGCAGUGUAAGAGAGGUCAAUGUAGCGCAAAUGUAUGUGGUUACCAAUGCAAUCAGGUAAGCUACUGAUGUUCUUAUAUCCUGCCAAUGAUACUGCCCGUGAACAUUUUAGCGUUGGCAACAAAUCAUUUGGAACCUUACUACUUACAUAGUAAUGCCCAUAUUCGUACCUUAAAGACAUGGGUAAGAAGGUGCGCAAAUAUUUAACUCCAUUUAAUGGUUGAAACUUUUUAGCGUCAUUAAAUCUUCCUUUCGCAUAUGACAAAUGUCGAACUCUUUUAGGAACUUCAUGAUCCUUCCUCAUCCAUCCUAAAACAAAAUUCUCUAGACACGAACAAAGCCAAGUCAUUAAUGAGAUCAUGCAUUGUGAAUCCAUGCUCCUCAGUUCUUGAUCUUUGAAUUAGUGAUCGUGAUACUAAUUCAUUAAAAUAGUUCUUGCCAACCUCCUCCAUUAUUUCCUUGCCCUGCGCUUGUGAAAUUAAACCCGCUGCCAUCCAAAGUCGAACUAAAUUAUCCUUCUCAAAUUCAUAGUCCUUGGGAAAAAUUGAGCAAUAAGCAAAACAUUGUUUUAAAUAAGUAGGGAGGUAAUGAAAACUCAAUCUUAAAGAUGGAAGAAUACUAAUCUCUUGUUGUAGUUCCCAAAGAUUGCUAUUCAAUAAAUGAUUCCAUUUCUUGUGGUUCAUGUUGCAACUUAAGAGACCUCCAAGUGUUUUCGCAGCUAAAGGGAGACCAUUGCACUUACGUGCAAUUUUUUUUUCCAAUUUCUUCCAAGUCUGGAUGUGCACUAGGGUUUUCAUUUCUAAACGCAUGUUUUGCAAGUAACAACCAACAAUCAUCAUGCGACAAUUGUUCUAAAGAUUGAAUAGGAACAGUGUGCACGAUGGAUGCAACACUUUCGUUCCUUGUUGUCACAAUGACCUUACUUCCCCUCGCCCCAUAAGUGAAAGGAGCUUUUAGAACACUCCAAUCGUUAUAAUUGUCAUUCCAAAGGUCAUCCAACACAAAUAGAUAUCUCUUUCCCAUUACAUGUUCCCUAAGAUCAACUUGAAGCAAGCUCAUAUCUGACUUAUCACAGGGUUUUGAAGCAAUUGACUGAAAAAGGGUUUUAGUGACCCUAAAAGCAUCAAAAUCUUCGGAGACACACGCCCAAGCUCGAACAUCGAAAUGCUCUUUCACACUGUCAUUAUUGUAAAGGAGCUGAGCAAGGGUUGUCUUACCAACUCCUCCCAUUCCCACUAUCGGGAUUACAGAUAUAUUGCCGCCGCUUGCAUCAUCAGAUAGCAGCAGUGUUUUCAACUUCGCUUCAUCUUCAUCCCUACCGUAAGUAGAGAAUUCAUGCUCAACGAAGGAAGUUGUGGGAGUUCUUUGUGAAACCUUAACCCCGACACCUUCUCUAAGACCGAGCACAUCUGUCUGUUGUGCAAGGUGUUCCAACCUUUGAAAUAAGGUUUGUAUCCUACCAUUCAUGCCUUGAUAAAAAGGAUUAAGAGAAGUAGAGAGGAAGUUCCACACCUGGGUUUUCUUAGUUGAAAAUUCAGCUUCCACCUUGCUUCGCAAAACUUCAGUAUCGAUCUCGUCCAGCAGGUCCUCGGCAUCGAAGACAGCAUGUUUGAGCUCGUCAAGCCACUUUCCCACACGGUGUUUCUCCAUCUGCUUCUCCUCUGCAUCAUCAAGCACUGCAUCAAGGGCCAGAAACCUCAGCUUCAGUUUCUCCAGGAGUGAAUGAUCAAGUUUUUUUCCCCGGAAGAAGUCCAUCAACUCCCCAGAACCGAUCUUGUCGCACAACGUCCGAAUGGAAGCAGAGAGGAAUGCCUCUCCAAUCAAAGCUCCUGCCAUCUCUCUCUGUUUUUUUUUUUUUUGGAACAAAGUAUAAAUUUCAAAGAAGUGUUCCGGUGAGGAACUAUAAGAGCUUUUAUGGUUUAUUGUAAUCUCAAUUUUGUUUCAGAAAGAGAUGUCUUGAUUUAUUUUAGGUCAAUAAUGCAGGGGGCCUCACACGUUCCUAAAAAAAAGUUGUUUCAUUAAUCAUUGUUUUUUAUAUAAUUUAAUAGGUUGUCUUGUUUUGUUUUGGGAAAGGUAGUUUCCUAGUAGUUGGUGUGGAAAUUCUGGGUUGGGUGACUUUUGUUUUAUUCUUCUUGUAUGUGUUUUUCAUAGAUUCUUUCCAGGAUAUUCCACCAAAUAUGAAAUCUUUGAAGAUGUCAAACUCUUUCGUGUAUUACUUUGUGGAGAAUUAGGUACUUCUGUGAGUGACAAAUUUUUAUUAGAUAAUGUCAGGAAUGCUAAAUUUAUAAACAAAAUUUUAAAAACUAAAUGACAUUGAAAUUGAUGAUUAGAUCAUUACUUAAACGUUGAUAAACGUGCUCAUUUGACAUAUCAUUUAGUUUAUAAAUUUUAUCUAUAAAUUUUGUCUCUCUAACAUUACCUUUUUUUUACUGCUGCUCCUUUAGACACUACAAUGUUUUCGUAUGGACUUCUUUUUCUAGCUCGCAUAGGUUCAACAUUUAAGGCUGCUGAGUUAAUCAUCACUCAGACUCGUGUUGAUUUCUUUGAAUAUACUGUGGCAUUUUCCUCUGCUUUAGAACCAUUAAACAGUUUAUGAUGGCAAAGUGUCUCUGUAAACUAAAACAAAGAACUAGGUUCGUAAUCAUAUACUCAAUCCAUUAUGUCUUCUCACUACUCGAGCUCAAAAUUAAUAGUUAAUUUAUGUGCCUUGGGAUGUUAAUUCAUAUUUGAGUCGAUACUAGAAGUCGUGUUCGUGUAUGAUUUUUCAUUUAAUUGGAUUUAUUUUUGCUUACCACUUUUAAGUUGUGAAGAGGUUAGAAUGUCCGGAAUACGAAGCAGAACACCAUAUGUUAUUAUACAAUUAAAAGUAAUUUUUUAAGUAUUUCUUCAAUUAUGUGAUGACGUAUGAUGUUCUUCCAAUUAAAUAAAUAAAAUAGAUAGAAAUAAAAAUUCUUGCAUGGUCUCCGUAGUCUAAUCAAAUAAGUAAAGAAAAGGCAAACGGGAACCAGUAGCAGGAAGGAGGAAGCUAACAAUUGACAUUAAUUAAUCCAUAUUUCUUCUGCAAAAUGCUCUGCUACUCUACUUUAAGGUCAGCUAUGAGUCCCUCAUUUUGGUCGUUGACGUAGUGUGCAUUAUGCGCAUACCUCACUAUGCAGUUUGUAAUAUUGCCACCGAUUUUCCAAUUCAACCUACCAACGAAGCAGCUUCCUACUUACUACCUUUCCAAUGUGAAUGUGAUAAAAUAGAAGGAUUAAAGUUGAAACGAAAUUUUAUCUCUCUUUCAUUGCAACUCUAUUUGGUUAGACAAUAUGUUUUUUUGUUAUUGAUGCGUUACUUUUUUGUAUACUAAAUGUAUUCAUAAAUCUCAUGAUCUAGAUGGGCCAAAUCAUCGUCACAUCAUAUUAUUAUUAGUUAGGAACAAUUUAGCUAUAAAUAUUCACCUUUUUUUUCGGUUACAUAAUAAAAUGAUUCUCUUGGACACAUCACUUUUCUUUCUCUUUUUCUUUUUUUGUGAGAAAAAUAAAAACAAGCACAUCACGUAAAGUGUACGGAUGAAACACAAUUCCUUUUACAUAAAAACUUAUUAAUUAGCUCUACAAAUCUGCACGAAAUCAAAUUAACCACUAGUAUGCCAUCAAAUGUACAUGUUUGGAUUUUUAUUUUUAUACAACAACAUAUAUACACUAUAAAUUGACACCCAAAAAAACCCAUAAAACACCAUAAAAGAAUGUGAAGCACAUAAAAAAAUGCUUUUCUCUCUGGAUCAGGAUCCUCUCCUGAGCAAAUGGAGAUGAUCCUCCUGACCGUGUACAUCGGACCGUUCAAAUGUUAUCCAACGGUUACAAUUAUUAUAACUUUUAGUGAAGCCCCCUGUUUGUAGCCGUUGGAUAAAUUUUGAACGGCCCGAUGGGCCCGGUCAGGAGGAUCCUCUCCAUUUGCUCAGGAGAGGAUCCUGAUCCUUUCUCUCUACCUACAAAGUAGUUUCCUAAAUACUAACUAUUUUUCGUUGUGAUCGGAAUACGGUUGGUACAUCAUGUGUUUUUAUAUAAGUGGCAGAAAAUUUGAUUUUUUAAGUUAUUAAAUUUUUAACACACAUAUCUCAUUAUUUAUAUAGUGACACGUGAUGUACUACCCCAUGUACCGAUCACACUGAAAAAUCUCUUGUGAAUGUGGUCAAGUUGAAAGAUAGGGGCCUUCUUGGGAACUACAUUUCAAAAGUGGAUAUUAAUUUAAGGGUAAUGUUAGGAAAGUUAAAUUUGUAAAGUAAAUUACAUGAAAGUUAAUGAUUAUAUUAUUACAUGAAUGUUGAUUAACGUGUUUAUUUUUUAAUGAUGACACAUUAAUUACUUUACAAAUUUAAUCUCUUCACAUGACUUUUAAUUUAAAGGAGAUGAAGUUUCAUUGCAAGCUGCUACUUACUACUUUCGAUGUAAUAGCCACAACCGAUUGAAAAAUAUUGUUUGUUGGCACGCGAUCUUUAAUUUAACAAAGAAUUUGUCUUAUUAAUUUGUUUUGUUUUACUUUUUGGAACUUUUUGUUUCUCUUACCAGUGACCAACUCAUUAUGAUUUGUCUGUAUUUUUUUAAGUUGAAACAUCUCAUAUAUAAGUUGAACAAAGUUUAUUUUCCAAUGCAUUUGAAAAUUUGUUUACUUUUUUAGGUGUAACUUUAUGAUAGCAGGGGAGGCUGAGUGGGUUGGGCAGAUAGGGUUGUGGACCGACCAACCCUAGCCUAUAAUAUAGGUCAAGUGUAGAUUUGUAGGGCUCUAGGCAUUAGGUGGUAGGUAGCUUAGGCAGAGAUUGACCGUUUGCCUGGAUUGAUUAAUUAAACCUAUUUACGCAAACCCUAAACGCCAAACCACAAAUCCAACUUUCAAGUAUGAAUCAUGUCAAAUGUCCCAACAGAGCUGCCCUUCGACAUUUUCCUCCAUCCCAAGGAUUUGGUAACACGCCACACCAGGAUCCUCUCCUAUAAAAAAACUAAGUCUGCUGAGCAGGCGAUCGUGGUCAUUGAAAUUUAAUCUAACAGCUAUAAUUAUUAUAAUUUUAGAGGAUCUAUCUGUUUGUAACCAUUAGAUUAAAUUUCAACCACCACGAUCACCUACUUAGUAGACUUAGUUUUUUAAGAUCAUGAGAGGAUCCCGAUCCAUAAAAAAUCACAGCUUACACCCAAUUUUUUUUUUAAUUUUUGUUUUUAAGUUUUCUUUAGCGUCCAACCAAAUUGAGCACGGACCUGAACCCAAUAAUUUAAAAGAAAAACUAAUGAAAAACGUUUGAAAAUUUUGAGUUUUAACGAUAAGAACAAAAUAAAGGGUAAAAUGAAUAAUACCAGGAUUGACUUUUUAGUGCAAAAAUAUGAUUUUUCGUUAAAGUGAACAGUACCAUGAACUUUUCGUUAAAGUUGCCUAAUUUAACGGCAGCCCGUGGAUGACACUUGCACAAUACCGUAGUGCAAUAAGCAACAUUUUUUACGUAGCAUAUAUCAACAUUUAUGAACAGACAUCAAGACGUAGUAACAUAAAAACAAGGCUCAUACCAAAAUGUCUUCGGAAAUUAUAAUAAUAGACAUCAAAAUGUAUUAACUUAAAAACAAAGAAAUAAUAUUCGCACACGAAUUUUCUCUUUCUGAACACACAUUAUUAUGUUCCUUGAUUGAUUAUCUUUUGACUGUUUCAAUCCAAAUGUAAAAAACAAACCGGGACCGCGUGCGGGAAGAUUAAGGGUGUGCAAGAAUCACUUCCCCAGACUUAUGAUCCAACUAUUCAGAAGUUGGCUUUGUCCUCCGAUUCGGCAGUGCCACACAGAGAGAAAUCCUAAGUAGGAAACGACUUCCAUAUAGGAGUUUUAUGCAUAAACUGGGGCAGCCUUAUACUGGUAACUUGGAUGUAAACCUACUUUGUCAUCUGAUGGCUAAAAACUCUAAUUAGUUUCAGGACAUGGCUCCAUGUUUUCUUCAAUGCUUUCGCAGGGUCUAGGAAACCUGCAUGUUUUAUUCAUUGCUUUCAAGAGUCUGGGGGACCUGCAAGUUCUCUUCAUUGUUCGCAACCAAGUUCUGGAGGGCCUCUGGCUCCUCGCCGGUUCUUGCCUGCAAGCUAAGCAAACGAUUAAUGCAUGAACAACCAGUUUCCAGAAUGCAUGGCCAUAAGGCUGUAUUUUAACAGCCUCACAUAUUUCCUGGCAAUGACAUAAGUCAAAAUUUUCUUUUUGGGAGUGAAAUUCACUUAAAGUGCCACUUUUCCCAGUAUAUUUAAUGAACCUCCUACUGAUUAGGACUAUCAUGGUUCAGAGUUGUUACCAAGAAAAUUUCUAUCAUAUGACGGCCUGCGCCAACCCUCCUCAACCAAAAGUAAGCUACGCUGUAUCAUUAAUUUCUCCACGGCAUCUUCCUCUAGAACAGUUAAUGAAUCGGAUGGUUGCCUCCGUGAUGGUUGACCCUGCAGUAUAAGAUAAUAAUAAUCUAGGGUAAUUCAACCACAAAUACAGUAACAAUUUGUUACUCGCUCAAAAUAUAUAUACAUCAAUUACAUAAAGAGUAAACAUGUUACCACUGCAAGGAAACCGUGCUCUCAUUUUUGUGUGUGGUCAUCGUCACUGCUGCUCUCUUCAACCCACUCCAAGAUGCCAGUGACAUCAAGGGAAGAUGUUAAACAUCAUUCCCCUGUUUUCUCUCUGCAUCAAUGAAGUGGCAUACGUUAGUCCCAUCAUGUUGUCCUGACUGAUAAAAUAUUUGAAUGCAAUAUACAAUAAGUGUGAUGGGUUUCUGAAAUAUAUGUGACAUAUUGACAAAACCCUCGUUAAUUAUUCCCUCACUAACUAGGGGAUAAUUUAGCUAGGAUUAUAUCCAUGUGAAUACGACAACCUGAGUACAAACGAUCUGAUUGUUUUUGCAUCCCAAAAAAACCACAAAUCCUAUGAUUUCAUCCAAAAACAGUCCAUAAUAUUCAUUUAAAGAACUUAAUUAUAAACAAAGGAGAUCCAUAUGAUUUUACAAUGAAGCGAAAUUUGACAAAAUAAUUCAUCAAUUUACACGAGUAAACAUGUUACCAUUGCAGCACCUGAAAGUUAAAGUAUCACAAGACGCCUUACUAGCUCCGCUGUUGUCCAUUUUGCCAGUUGAUUCUUCCAGCUAUUCAAUAUUCCGGCCUUCCAAUCUAUUGAUGGUCUGGUCGACUCAAUUAGUAAAUAAAAGCCUGGCAUUAAUUAUGACACUGCAGAAUGUGGCAGGUCUUGUAUCUCUGGUUUGUUCAUCUUGUUAUAUAUAUACAGGUAGAAAACACUCGAUAGCUGACAAAACAUUCCCUGGAUGAAGUUCACUUAAAGUCCCCUUUUUCCCAGUUUGUAUGAAACUCCAACUGAUUAGGGUUUGUACUGAUAUAUGCAAUAAUGUACAUGAUCAUGCAACUAUGGUUCAGAGUUGUUACCAAGAAAAUUUCUAACAUACGAUGGCCUGCUCCAACCAUCCACCAUCAAAAUUAGGAUAAAGGCGUAUCAUCAAUUUCUCUGCGGCAUCUUCCACCAAAACAGUUCAUGAAUCAGGCAGUCGCCCCUGUAGUGGACGAUCCUGAAGAAUCCAAAUAAAGGUACUUUAAUAGAUUUUCUAUCAAAGUAGCAUGUCAUCAUACAUAUAGAAAUUAGAAAACGUACCUUUUUGUCCAGCUACAACUUUAGAUAUUCAACUGAUUGCUCAUAAAAUCCACAAUGGUAGAGAAGAAUGCUGUAAUCUCUUAAUUCCUUCAGAUCAGGUUCUAGGAGAAUAAGAUGUCCACAAGCUGUGACAAAGUAGCCGUAACAGAUGCAAACUGAAAACCACUGAGAAAAUACAAGGUAUCCUUAUAUAUAUGCACUUAUCUUAGAUUAGUUUAUGUAGAAGCUACAUUCAUUUUGGACGAAAUACCUGCCCUCAUUUAUGUUUUAUCUAUCAGUAAAGUUAGCAGCAUGUGCUGCCCUCAAUAACAAAUUCCCUGGUUGAUCAUGCUGAAAUGACCAGAAUAAGUUACUUUCAAAAUGUGAGGACCUAUAAAUAAUCUUGAAUGUAACAUAGAUCCAUCAAUUAAAUGGCAAAGGAAUACCUAAACUACAAGAAUAAUCAAUUAACAAUAUACCACAGCCGAUAUGAUUCUCUUAAAUGGAACAUCUGGAUGAUGGAUUUGAAAGUGCCAAGGGCUUAAGGCUAAAUUAGUUAAAACUCACUACAAAAGAUUAGAUAGAGGCAUAUGAAAGACUAGAUGCAAUGUAUCGAGAGGGAUUUGUAAAUGACUGCUUAUGUUGUAAUGAUCACCUAGUGCAUUUCAAAUAUCUAUAUCUAAUAUUUUGUAGUUGAUUUCUAACUAGCUUAUCCUAAAUUCCUCAGUUCUUUCAAAUCCCUCAUCCAAACACAGGGUGAGAAAACUAGGAGUUUUAGCAAACACAACUCAUUGACAUAGGGUAAUACAAAUUUAGGGAAGAAAAAAAAAAAGAUGUCGACAUGGUAACGUAAAUCACCUCCACUAAAAUGGCUUGCGAAAUCAUUAUGUGUGCAUUAUCAGAUUCCUUGGUUUUCUGUUUAUUAUAACCUCUGGGAAGACUAUGAAGAAUAUCUCCGCAUCGAAAUCCAAAAAGCCCCAUAAGAGAAGCAUUUUCAAAAUUUCCAAGUAUAUGAGCAAAAGAAUUGCAGGUGAUCUUGAACAAUGUGUCAAAACCUGUUUGCAACGUCUACAUUAAACUCCUGAAAACAAUGCCUGUAUUGUAGUGUUCUCACAGAACAACCUUGAAAUAACAAAUAAGUAAGGCAGACUUUCAUACCAGGCAGACUUUCAUACCGAGCAGAGAUAUAGAGCUCAUGGUUCAGAGUGAUGCCUUGCAUUGGUCCUUCGGAAACCGUGAAAUAAAAUUAGAAAAGAAAUCUUGUGACUUAUUUCUCUUUUCUUAAUUUAUUCAUAUUUGUCCAGCCAAUCAAAGUGGUAACAAGUUAGAACCUUGAUUCUAAGUUCCAAAUGAAGAAUAAAAGUCCUUCAUAAGAAUUAGAAACAAAGAGAAGAAUUCAGAGAGUUUUAAAAUCAAAGUGAGGUGUUGAAAAUCAAAGUGACGUAUUGACAUAUUGACAAAACCUCAUUAGUACAUGCGUUAGUCCCAUCAUGGAUUUCUGUAAAUACACGCUAGAUAUUGACAAAACCCUCAUUAAUUAUUUCCUCACUAACAAGGUGAUAAUUUUGCCAGGAUCAUAUAUCCAUGAAUACGACAACUUGAGUACAAACGAUUUGAUUAUUUUUGCAUCCCAAAUACCACAUAUCCUAUGAUUUCAUCCAAAAACAGUUGAGAAUAUUCAUCUAAAGAACUUAGUUAUGAACAGAGGAGAUCCACAUGAUUUUACAAUGAAGUAAAAUUUGACAAAAUAAUUCAUGAUUUACAUAAGAGUAAACAUCUUACCAGUACCACUGCAGCACUUGAAAGUUAAAGUAUCACAAGCAGAUAAUAGGUGCCUUACUAGCUCCGCUUUUGUCCAUGUGCCGGUUGACUCUUCCAACCAUCCAAUAUUCCGGCUUUCCAAUCCAUUGAUAAUGUGGUCGAAUCAACUAGUAUAUAAAAGUAUGGCAUUAAUAUGAAAAUGCAGAAUGUGGCAGGACUUAUAUCUCUGGUUUUAUUAAUCUUGUUAUAUACAGGUAGAAAACACUGGAUAUCUGGCAAAACAUUUCCAGGAUGAAGUUCACUUAAAGUCCCAUUUUUCCCAGUUUGCAUGAAAUUCCUACUAAGUAGGUUUGUACUGCUAUAAGCAAUAAUGUACAUGAUCACACAACUGAGGUAGAGUUGUUACCAAGAAAAUUUCUUACAUACGACAGCCUGGUCCAACCAUCCUCCAUCAAAAUUAGGUUAAGGCGUAUCAUCAAUUUCUCUGUGGCAUCUUCCACCAAAACAGCUAAUGAAUCAGACAGUCGCCUCCUUAGUGGACGAUCCUGAAGAACCCAAAUAAAGGUACUUUAUUAGAUUUGAUAUCAAAGUCGGAUGUCAUCUUACAUAUAGAAUUAGAAAACUUACCUUUUUGUCCUGCUACAACUUUAGAUAUUCUGAUUGCUAAUAAAGUCCACAAUGGUAGAGAAGAAUGAUGUAAACUCUUAAUUCCUUCGGAUCAGCUUCUAGGAGAAUAAGAUGUUCACAAGCUGUGACAAAGUAGCCUUAGCAGAUGCAAGCUGAACGCCAGUGGAAAAAUACCAAGUAUCCUUAUAUAUAUGCACUUAAGUUGGAUUAGUUUUAAGUAGAAACUACAUUCACUUGGGACAAUGUACCUGUCUUCAUUUAUACUUGAUCUAUCAAUAAAGAGGUCACACUUGGUGCGAUGGCAAGUGCCUUCGCCCAUGAGCGGUAGGUCUCGGGUUCGAGACUUGAGAGCAGCCUCUCCAUAAAUGGGGGUAAGGCUAGCCGACAUUCACCUCUCCCAGACCCUGCGUAAAGCGGGAGCCUUGUGCACUGGGUACGACGACCUUAUCAAUAAAGUUAGCAGCACGUGCUGCCCUCAAGAACAAAUUCCCUGGUUCAUCAUGCUGAAAUGGGCAAGAAUGCACCCUUCAAAUUUUUUUAGAUCUGUACAAUCAGUAAACUCUUGGGAGCAGCCUCUCCAUAAAUGGGGGUAAGGCUAGCCGACAUUCACCUCCCAGACCCUGCGUAAAGCGGGAGCCUUGUGCACUGGGUACGACCUUUUUUUGUACAAUCAGUAAACUAUGAGGCCAGAUGUACCUAAGGUUAAAGCCUUGUACACAUGUCCGAAGAUCAAAUAUGCAUGUAAAUAAAAUUAUAUAAAGACAAUGUCACACACAAACAAAUGUACACAAAUAUAUAUUUAAACUAUACUUUGACUCACUUUGAGCACAAAACCCAUGCUUACAACUGCUCAAUUGAAAUCUACUGGUUGACAUCUACAUCCUAGCGCAUAGAACAUUUCUUUUUUGAAAACUUAUUAGUUGUUGGAUGAAGGCUGGUGAACAAAAGCUUUUCUACUCAUUGGUGAAUUGUAAAUCAUGAUUAGGAGGACCUGUAGAUAUGGUACCAACUCAGGUCCAUAUCCACAAUAUCUGACAACAUAUAUGGUACCAACUUAUAGGCAGGUUCAUAAUAUUCUGACUAAAGAUAAAUUAGAAACAAUGCUGAACGAAAAGGUUGUUCACUCUUCAACUAAAUGACAAAGGAAUACCUAAAUUACAAGAGUAAUCAAUUAACAAUAUACCACAGGCAAUAUGAUACUCUUAAAUGGAACGUCUGGAUGAAGGAUUUGAAAGUGCCAAGCGCGGGCUUAAGGCUUAAUUAGUUAAAAUUCACUACAAAAGAUUAGAUGGAAGGAUAUGAAAGACUAAAUGCAAUGGAUCGAGAGGGAUUUGUAAAUGACUGCUUGAAAGGAGACAUUUAUAAAUGCUUUUUUAUGUGUGUAAUGAUCAUGUAGUGCAUUUCAAAUAUCUAUAUCUAAUGUUUUGAUUUUUAACUAAAUGCAAUGCAUCGAGAGGGAUUUGUAGUUGAUUUUUAACUAAUGUACCUAAAUUUCUGGUUACUUUCAAAUCGCUCAUCCAAACACCGGGUGAGAGAACUAGGAAUUCUAGCAUACACAACUCACUGACAUAGGACAAUGCAAACCAAGGCAAAAAAAACAGAUCUGUCGACAUGAUAACAUUAAGUCACCUCAUCUCCACUAAAACGGCUUGCAAAGUCAUUAUGCGUGCAUUAUCAGAUUCCUUGCUUUUCUGUUUAUGGUAACCUCCGGGAAGACUAUGAAGACCGUGACCAAACAAUAUAUCCGCAUCGAAAAAUCCAAAAAGCACCAUAAGCUAAGCAUUUUUAAAAAUUCUGAAUAUAUGAGCACACGAAUUGCACGUGAUCCUGAACAGUGUGUCAAAACCUGUUUGCAAUGUCUACAUUAAACUCCAGAAAACAAUGCCCGUAUUGUAGGGUUCUGAUAGAACAACCUUGAAAUAACAAACGAGUCAGGCAGACUUCCAUACCGAGUGGAGAUAUAGAGCUCAUGGUUCAGAGUGAAGCCUUGCAUUGGUCCUUCAGAAACCCUGAAAUAAAGCUAAAAAAGGAAUCUUGUGACUUAAUGCUCUUUUCUUAAUUUAUUCAUAUUUGUCCAGCCAAUCAGAGUGGUAACUGGUAACCAGUUAGAACAUUGAUUCUAAGUUCCAAAUGCAGAAUAUCAAAGUCCUUUAUAUGAAUUAGAAACAAAGAGAAGAAUUCAGAGAGUUUUACCUUCACUGCUUUUCUCCAUCAAAUUGGGAAAAUCUUGAAUGUCCAUGUCAACUUGAGCUCAAUUCUUUUUCAUACGUCAUCUAGAAAAGAUAGUCCUGAUUCAAAGAUGCAGAAUUAUGAUUUAUAAAGUGAUCUUAAUUAAUUGUGCAAGUUUGACAAUCUGGACCAUUUCCUUAUGUUCUGAUUCAUGAAUAUAAUCCAUCAAUAAUGAUCAUGAAACAAGAACAGAAAAGGAAACGUAAGUUACACUCCGGUAUUCAACAACUUACGGUGAACUUUGUAAGUGCCGCAUCCAGCCAAAUUCACACGUUGUGUUUGUACAGAAACAUAUCAGCACCUAUUUAAAAAUGACAGAUGCGCUGAAAGAUGAGUAAGCAUUCCAACGUACUCAAACCACAACAUUAGGAGGAAAGAGAAACAUCAAGGAGUUACCUCGUCCCGUGCAGGAGAAUCAUAAUCGUGACCUAGCUAGCCAGAGCACCCAAUAACUUACUUGGUAUUGUAAGAAGUAGUUUAUGUAAGCAAACACUCGUUGCUCUUAGAUGAUAUUGUCCUGAAAUUUAAUUGAUUGAUUAAUUAAACACAGUAUAGCUGACAGUAAACAAUUGAAUGGGGUGUAUUCAAUUGAGAUUUUGAGGGAUUUUAAUUCUUUUAAUGAAUCUAGGGUAUUUAAUAAAGAUUUUAAAUGAUUCUCUGAAAUUCAAGGUGUAUUCAAUUAUAAUUUUAAGAUAGUUUAUUAAAAUCCUUAGAAAUCUAAAUAUAUUCAAUUAAGAUUUUAAAGAAGUUUAUAACAUUCAAGUGUAUUCAAUUAGAAAUUGAUUUUAAAGAAUUUGAGAAAGUUGAGGAAUUGGAGAGAAUUGGAGAGAUUUCGUAGUGUGUUUUAAGCAUCCACAAAUUUCACCUCUCCACAUGAGAUUUCGAGGGAAUUGAAUCAAAAUUUUAUAUGGAAUCUCUACAAAUCAAUUGAAUUCCAUAAAAAUCUAUGGAUUUAUAAAUCCAUUAAAAUCUCUCAAAUUAAUCUCAUGUGGAAUUAAAUCAAAAUUUUAUAUGGAAUCUCUACAAAUCAAUUGAAUUCCAUAAAAAUCUAUAGAUUUAUAAAUCCAUUAAAAUCUCUCAAAUUCUCAAUUGAAUACAACUUCGAAUUUCAAAGUGAAACUUUUAGAAAAUCUGAAUCUUCCACGAAAAAUGGUGCUAUGUACGUACCUGACUUUGAGUUGAGAUCUCAAAUGAUGACUUGGUCGCCUAUCUCGAUGCAAGGAAUGUGAGCUGUCUUGCUCCACUCUUCUCCCGUCUUCUCCUGACACCUAGGGGUGGGUUCAAAAAACCGAAAACC